AUGGGUCUGCAAAGCAAGCCGUGAGGGCGUAAUUUAGGCAGUUAUCGAGACCGCUGGUCUCGGCCGCACGCUCACCAGUCACCAGCACCAGUAAUGGCGUACUCAUCACUAAAUACAAGAAAUUAUAUUUCCUUGUGAACGAAAAUAAAUAAUUUGUAUUGGUCCCCAAUACUCUGAGAAGCAGCACUUUGCAUUUAUUGAGCAAUACGUUAGUACAAUAUUAACCGAUAUUAGACACUGCGGUAUCUAUUAUUAGAUAAGCAGCUUGCAAUGCCAAUAGUCAGGCAAUCGUACCUAUAGCACCAAAGUGCGCUCUUGGUUGAUAAAGUUAACAAACAUAGUAACUAUAUGAGAAACAAAGGAAGAAAGCAGCAUCAGGAAAAAUACUCUAGUCUGAGAGUACAAAGAAAAAAAAAUAUAUUCCGUCCAAAAAUAACCAAACGCUGGCUGUUGCCUACUCGCUGCUCUCAGUUCCUACAGCGUUUUUGUGCUUCCUGGACAUGUGCUUUUUCAACUCGCAAGGCUUCCUUAGUGUAAGGGAAUCAUUCUCAAGCCUAUCCACCUUCAAGGCCAAGUGUCGUUGGCCAUGUCUACCACCAACCGACUUGUGGCUUAUCUUGGACUUGAAGAACCAUUCAUAAUUCAGCCUGCCUUCCGGUUUAUCUCUGAAACAUGCUGACAGGAGCUUGCUACGUAGAGGACCAUGGAACGUACAGGCAAUGCAUUGGUUUGUGUUGGCGCUAAUAUUCCAGUACCUCGUGUUGGGCAGUGUGUGACGUGGCCGCCCCUCCUCUUUGUUGGCUCCGUGAGCCUGUUUGCAUGCGCUCGACCAUCAAGCGCAGCUGCAUGAAAAAUGACAAAAUGGCUCGCUUUGUAGUGUGCCUUGGAGUAUUCAGUUAUGGACUUCUUAGUUCGUUGGUAUCACCACAAGAUUUAGGUUUGGUCAAGCAAAAAAAUUUUUCUUCGGAGGAAUUUUUACAAAAGUUUGUUAGUCGGCCCUCCUGAAGGCCACAUGUGACAAUCAGCCCCUUCGUGGUCACAAUAAAAUCCACAAACGCUCUUUAAACAUGGCAUCCAUCCUACUUUGGUGCAGCCAAUGCAUAUACAUUAUCUGCACACAGCUGGAGGAGCAUCUUCAGUCAAUCCAUAGAAAACGCAUGACUACUUGGAAUAGACUCGUCCAUCUAUUCAAUCCUUCAUAUGUCUGAAGAAACUAUGCCAUUCCUACCACCCCACACUCCCAACGAGACUAAUUUAUUGACUUUUAACUGAACUCUGCGCACACCCGGCUUGAACACCUACUAACUUCUGAUAUUUCCAAAAUUUAUUCGAAAGUAGGAAGUGAAGUCCAUUGCUAUGGAAAUUAUAUAUUUAAUUAUUUGUUCAUUUAUUUUGAUAAAUAUAAACUUUAUUACAAUAUCAAUUUAUUAUUUAAGUUCACUGAACAUAUUAAUAUAGAUGUUUUGCAUUUUAAAGCAUUGUUUAAAUUAGACUUCCAAAGGAUUAAGAUUGAGCUUCAUUAAUUUUAAAACGUUAGAUCAAUGCUUGUGACUUCUGCUUAGCCACAUUUAUUACUCAUGCUUUUUCUAUCUUGUCGAUAGCCGAGGCAUUUGCUAAAUUAGAGAAGCAUGCCACUUAAAUUAAUGUACAUUGUUCUGCCUUAUAUUGUCAACAGUAUCAUUCUUGUAUCAUCAACAGUGCACCCUUGAACUUUAAUGCUGUGUAAAUACUUGCUUCACUCAAUAAACGAUUUAUUGA